rnacentral:rRNA from 1 species
UGGGGAAUAUUGCACAAUGGGCGCAAGCCUGAUGCAGCCAUGCCGCGUGUAUGAAGAAGGCCUUCGGGUUGUAAAGUACUUUCAGUCGGGAGGAAGGUGUCAAGGUUAAUAACCUUGGCAAUUGACGUUACCGACAGAAGAAGCACCGGCUAACUCCGUUCCAGCAGCCGCGGUAAUACGGAGGGUGCAAGCGUUAAUCGGAAUUACUGGGCGUAAAGCGCACGCAGGCGGUUGAUUGAGUCAGAUGUGAAAUCCCCGGGCUUAACCCGGGAAUUGCAUAUGAUACUGGUCAGCUAGAGUCUUGUAGAGGGAGGUAGAAUUUCAUGUGUAGCGGUGAAAUGCGUAGAGAUGUGGAGGAAUACCGGUGGCGAAGGCGGCCCCCUGGACAAAGACUGACGCUCAGGUGCGAAAGCGUGGGGAGCAAACAGG